UGGGGAAUAUUGGACAAUGGGCGCAAGCCUGAUCCAGCCAUGCCGCGUGAGUGAUGAAGGCCUUAGGGUUGUAAAACUCUUUCGCUAGAGAAGAUAAUGACGGUAUCUAGUAAAGAAGCCCCGGCUAAUUUCGUGCCAGCAGCCGCGGUAAUACGAAAGGGGCAAGCAUUGUUCGGAAUUACUGGGCGUAAAGCGCGCGUAGGCGGCAUAUCAAGCCAGGGGUGAAAUCCCGGAGCUCAACUCCGGAACUGCCUUUGGAACUGGUAAGCUCGAGGAUGUGAGAGGAUAGUGGAAUACCGAGUGUAGAGGUGAAAUUCGUAGAUAUUCGGUGGAACACCAGUGGCGAAGGCGACUGUCUGGCACAUUUCUGACGCUGAGGUGCGAAAGCGUGGGGAGCAAACAGGAUUAGAUACCCCCGUAGUCC
rnacentral:rRNA from 1 species